UACAGAGGGUGCAAGCGUUAAUCGGAUUUACUGGGCGUAAAGCGUGCGUAGGCGGCUCGCUAAGUCGGUUGUGAAAUCCCUGGGCUUAACCUGGGAACUGCAGUCGAUACUGGCGGACUAGAGUACGGUAGAGGGUGGCGGAACUCCGGGUGUAGCGGUGAAAUGCGUAGAUAUCCGGAAGAACACCGGUGGCGAAGGCGGUGGUCUGGGCCGGCACUGACGCUGAGGAGCGAAAGCGUGGGUAGCAAACAGG
rnacentral:rRNA from 1 species